rfam:Populus trichocarpa scaffold_18_contig_251, whole genome shotgun sequence.
AGAGUAGAAUGCAGCCAAGGAUGACUUGCCGGCAUUUCCUCCCAGCUAGCUAGCAAGCCUUCUAUUUGGCAUGCCUGGCCGGCAGGAUGUCCUUGGCUAUAUUUUGUUCUCU